rnacentral:rRNA from 1 species
AACGAACGCUGGCGGCAUGCCUAACACAUGCAAGUCGAACGAGAUCUUCGGGUCUAGUGGCGCACGGGUGCGUAACGUGUGGGAAUCUGCCCUUUGGUUCGGAAUAACAGUUGGAAACGACUGCUAAUACCGGAUGAUGACGAAAGUCCAAAGAUUUAUCGCCAGAGGAUGAGCCCGCGUAGGAUUAGCUAGUUGGUGUGGUAAAGGCGCACCAAGGCGACGAUCCUUAGCUGGUCUGAGAGGAUGAUCAGCCACACUGGGACUGAGACACGGCCCAGACUCCUACGGGAGGCAGCAGUGGGGAAUAUUGGACAAUGGGCGAAGGCCUGAUCCAGCAAUGCCGCGUGAGUGAUGAAGGCCUUAGGGUUGUAAAGCUCUCUUACCCGGGAUGAUAAUGACAGUACCGGGAGAAUAAGCUCCGGCUAACUCCGUGCCAGCCGCCGCGGUAA